GAGUUUGAUCCUGGCUCAGGACGAACGCUGGCGGUGCGCCUUAUGCAUGCAAGUCGAGCGAAGCUUUUCAGUAGUUUACUACAGAAAAUGACUGAGCGGCGAACGGGUGAGUAACGCGUGAGCAAUCUACCUUAGUUACAGGGAUAGCCCGAGGAAACUCGGAUUAAUACCUGAUAUUCUUUUUAUCUCGCAUGAGUUUUUAAGGAAAGGUCAGCCGAACUAAGAUGAGCUCCGCGUUCUAUCAGCCUAGUUGGUGAGGCUAAUAGCUCA
rnacentral:rRNA from 1 species